rnacentral:lncRNA from 1 species
UCGGGGUAAGAACCACGCCACAAUGUAGGUUGGCGCGGUUUUGGCCAGUGGAGGAGUCUCGCAAGUGGAUCAGCACGUCGCGUUAGUAGGUGGGAAGAUGAUAAGGGAAGAGAGAUAGGGGUGUUAGGGGUAUUUAAUAUGUGCCAUCCAUGUAUGGAUGGAACGGUUAAAAAAAACGUGUAAUGGAUCGUUGUAUCUGGAUGACAUAAAGACAGACUAUUUCUAAAACAUUGUAGAUGACCGAGCUCUAUAAAUCUUUUGGAAGAACACAAGCUAGCUUAAGGUAGGUGUGAGCUAAGUGAAAAAUAA